rnacentral:tRNA from 1 species
GGAGACGUGGCCGAGAGGCUGAAGGCGGCGGUUUGCUAAAUCGUUAUACAUAGUAAUAUGUAUCGAGAGUUCGAAUCUCUCCGUCUCCGCCA